ACGGCCAUACCACAUUGAAAACACCGGUUCUCGUCUGAUCACCGAAGUUAAGCUAUGUCGGGCCCGGUCAGUACUUGGGAGGGUGACCACCUGGGAACACCGGGUGCUGUAGGCU